UGAUGUGUAGCUGGACUGAGAGGUUGAACAGCCACAUUGGGACUGAGACACGGCCCAAACUCCUACGGGAGGCAGCAGUAGGGAAUUUUCGGCAAUGGAGGAAACUCUGACCGAGCAACGCCGCGUGAACGAUGAAGUAUUUCGGUAUGUAAAGUUCUUUUAUUGAAGAAGAAAAAAUAGUGGAAAAACUAUAUUGACGUUAUUCAAUGAAUAAGCCCCGGCUAACUAUGUGCCAGCAGCCGCGGUAAGACAUAGGGGGCGAGCGUUAUCCGGAAUUAUUGGGCGUAAAGGGUGCGUAGGCUGUUAGAUAAGUCUAUAAUUUAAUUUCAGUGCUUAACGCUGUCUUGUUAUAGAAACUGUCUUGACUAGAGUGAGAUAGAGGCAAGCGGAAUUCCAUGUGUAGCGGUAAAAUGUGUAAAUAUAUGGAGGAACACCAGAAGCGUAGGCGGCUUGCUGGGUCUUUACUGACGCUGAGGCACGAAAGCGUGGGUAGCAAACAGGAUUAGAUACCCUGGUAGUCCACGCCGUAAACGAUGAGUACUAAGUGUCGGGGUAAAACUCGGUACUGAAGUUAACACAUUAAGUACUCCGCCUGAGUAGUACGUACGCAAGUAUGAAACUUAAAGGAAUUGACGGGACUCCGCACAAGCGGUGGAUCAUGUUGUUUAAUUCGAAGAUACACGAAAAAUCUUACCAGGUCUUGACAUACUCUGCAAAGCUAUAGAAAUAUAGUGGGAGGUUAUCAGGGAUACAGGUGGUGCAUGGUUGUCGUCAGUUCGUGUCGUGAGAUGUUAGGUUAAGUCCUAAAACGAGCGCAACCCUUGUCGUUAAUUGCCAGCACGUAAUGGGUGGGGACUUUAACGAGACUGCCAAUUAAACAUUGGAGGAAGGCGAGGAUUACGUCAAAUCAUCAUGCCCCUUAUGAUCUGGGCUACAAACGUGAUACAAUGGCUGUGACAAAGAGUAGCUGAAACGCGAGUUUUUAGCCAAUCUCAAAAAAGCAGUCUCAGUUCGGAUUGAAGUCUGUAAC
rnacentral:rRNA from 1 species